GCAUUGGCGGUUCAGUGGUAGAAUUCUUGCCUUCCCACGCAGGAGACCUGGGUUCAAUUCCUAGCCAAUGCG
rnacentral:tRNA from 1 species